rnacentral:rRNA from 1 species
CUGCGGCCCCGGCCCCCGCCCCGGCCGCAUGGCUGGACGCGUGCCCAGCUGCUGGCCUGCU